UACGGAGGGGGCGAGCGUUAUUCGGAAUUAUUGGGCGUAAAGGGCGCGUAGGCGGCCCGGUAAGUCAAAGGUGAAAUCCCUCGGCUCAACUGAGGAACUGCCUUUGAAACUGUCGGGCUUGAGGCCGGGAGGGGGUAGCGGAAUUCCCAGUGUAGCGGUGAAAUGCGUAGAUAUCUGGAGGAACACCGGUGGCGAAGGCGGCAUCCUGGACCAAUUCUGACGCUGAUGAGCGAAAGCCAGGGGAGCAAACGGG
rnacentral:rRNA from 1 species